rnacentral:rRNA from 1 species
AUGAACGCUGGCGGCGUGCUUAACACAUGCAAGUCGAACGGUGAAGCCCCGCUUGCGGGGUGGAUCAGUGGCGAACGGGUGAGUAACACGUGAGCAACCUGCCCCUGACUCUGGGAUAAGCGCUGGAAACGGCGUCUAAUACUGGAUACGAGACGUGAUCGCAUGGUCAACGUUUGGAAAGAUUUUUCGGUUGGGGAUGGGCUCGCGGCCUAUCAGCUUGUUGGUGAGGUAAUGGCUCACCAAGGCGUCGACGGGUAGUCGGCCUGAGAGGGUGACCGGCCACACUGGGACUGAGACACGGCCCAGACUCCUACGGGAGGCAGCAGUGGGGAAUAUUGCACAAUGGGCGCAAGCCUGAUGCAGCAACGCCGCGUGAGUGAUGAAGGUCUUAGGAUUGUAAAGCUCUUUCACCGGAGAAGAUAAUGACGGUAUCCGGAGAAGAAGCCCCGGCUAACUUCGU